GGAGGGCUGUUAGGGUUGGGGUAGGAUGGUUGGGUUGUGGUUGGAUUCAGUGCUCUUUAAGGUUUUUUUCAGCCUGAGCAAUUCUAUGAUUCUAUGCUGACAAUCUCCUCUUGCUGGCUGUACUCUAUCAGGGUGUUUGAAGCAAAUGACAUACAAAGGUCAGCCUCAACCAUUCGUCAUUAAACUGAGACAGGGGAGGUUUAGGUUGGAUAUGAGAAGGAAGUUUUUCCCCCAGAGGGUGGUGAUGCACUGAACAGGUUGCCCAAGGAGGCUGUGGAUGCCCCAUCCCUGCAGGCAUUCAAGGCCAGGCUGGAUGUGGCUCUGGGCAGCCUGGGCUGGUGGUUGGCGACCCUGCACACAGCAGGGGGUUGGAACUCAAUGAGCAUUAUGGGCCUUUGCAACCUAGGCCGUUCUAGGAUUCUAUGAUCAUUCUGUGAAAGGUUGAUUGUAGCCACUGAAGCCUCGUCUCUUGUAUUUCCAUGAUAGCAGCCAAAAGAUAGAAGCUAAUAUCUUGCAGCUUGCCAGAGCUAUCUUCUGCAGUAAGCCUAUGGCUGCCCAAAAGCUGUUUGAACAUUAUCCUGGGCAGCCUGCUCUUGGUGUCCCUGCCUGAGUGAGGGGAUUGAACGAGGUUACCCCCAGGAGUCCCUUCCAACCUCAAUCAUUUUGUGAUUAUUUGAAAUUAUGAGGGUAAAGUAAUGGGAAUGCAAAAGACUCAGGGAGUUAGCUUUAGCCAAUGAGACAGGCUGCAGGCUGAGGGAAGAGGCAGCUCUGGAAUGCGUACCAUGUGUGUGGGGUGCCAUGUGUGUGGGGUACCAUGCGUGUAGGGUGCCAUGUGUGUGGGGUGCCAUGUGUGUGGGGUGCCGUGUGUGGGGUGCCAUGUGUGUUGGAUGCCAUGUAUGUGGGGUGCUAUGUGUAUGGGGUACCAGGUGUGUGGGAUGCCAUGUGUGUGGGGUGCCACGUGUGUAGGGUGCCAUGUAUGUGGGGUGUCGUGUGUGGGGUGCCAUGUAUGUGGGGUACCAGGUGUGUGGGAUGCCGUGUGUGGGGUACCAUGUAUGUGGGGUACCAGGUGUGUGGGAUGCCAUGCGUAUGGGAUGCCAUGCAUGUGGGGUGCCAUGCAUGUGGGGUGCCAUGUAUAUAGGGUGCCAUGUGUGUGCGGUACCGUAUAUGUGGGGUACCAUGUGUGUGAGCAGAGGACCUCUGGGCUUCUUAUCAGACAUACACCCGGGUUAUCACAGAAAGAGAACAUCUCAGAUUUGAGCCCAGAGUGAGGAGAUGUACAUGAGUGCAAAUGCUGGCAGGACUUAACCAAGUUGCUUGUAAAACCAGCCACAGCAAUUUGCGCCUUUAGAGCACAGGAUUUGUUUCCAGAGGGCAAAACACGAAUAAGGGAUGCUGAGACACAGUGACAAUACAGAAGCUGCACAGGUCAGAAGUGCAUCCUUUUCCCUUUAGUUUCAGAGUAAUGUUUUGGUCUCGUUGUCUGUGUGAUGCAGUGUCACGCUGGUAAAUGAAGCUGAGUUAAUCCCAAAGCUGAGAAGUAAGAUGAUGUUCUGUAACCAAGUAAAGAGAAAACCAAGUGAAGGUGAUGGGAUAAUCCAGAUCCUUUAAAAACAUGUCUUCUGCAUGCAUCCAAUGAUUGAAACAGAGCACUAAAUAGGAAGGUGAGUAAUUAGACCUAAUUUUUGUGAUGUCAGAGGGAGGGAAUUGCUGAGCUAACAGUAAAUGGUGGCUCUUUGAGUGCACAUUCAGGCUGUGACCACUGCACCCACAGUCCUACCCCAAGGAUUUGCUGUUUUUUAGCAGACAUUUUGUCAGAGGUUUUUAACAUUCAGCACUCUGUAUUAAAACUGUGGAGCUGCCUGCAGUGCAGGAGGCAGUUAAUUCCACAGCAGAUCCCAAAGGAAGGAGAGCAGAUCAAAGAUUCAUGCAGACACAGUCAGGAAACAGAGGAGCGAACUGUGUAUUGUGUGCUGCAUUUCUCAGUCAUUCCAAAGGGGAACAGCACAGCCCAGGAUGUGGAGCUGGAGAGGAGUCUGAUCAGUCCCAUGUUUUAAUGAGCACCUGGGAAUGAACCUUACUGCAUCCUGCUGCAUCCAGUGGGCUCUCUUAAAGAAAGUAGGCAGGGUUUGAGUAGAUUGGUGAACAGAAUAGAAUAGAUGUAUUAAUUAGAAAUGUCUUGUGAUAGUAACAGCAGAGCAGGGUCCAAGCUGGGAACAUGGCAGCUGUAUGAGGAGCAGAGCAGGCAGAGGGAGACAUGAGAGUCAGUGCUGAAAGCCCUGUGGCUGUGUUCUGGGAGCAGUUCCUAAGAGCUGGAUGGGAGUUACAGGGGCACACAGCACUCAGUUAAUGCUAUGUGUCUCUAUGGGAAAGAAAACUGCAGAGCUUCACCAAUGUGAGAGGAGUGACUGAAUCUGCACUGAAAAACUCAGACCUUGCUACAGUUGGUAUUACGCAAAACAUCUCCAUAAAAACCCUCAACACCAACCUUUCCUGCUGUUGUGGUCUUCACAGCCUUCCCAUGGAGACCCUUCUGGCUGUCCCUGGCUCGCUGGACGGCAUUUGCUUACAGUGAGCUCUGACCAGCUGUGUUUGUAAGCUGUGUGUGUCCAUGGUGAUGAAAUGCUGCGCAGUCACAAGAGCUGCUUGGGAAUGAGGUUCUCAGAGCUGCUUCUGUUCCCAGCUGGACUGUGAGAACUGCAAAAGCAUUGGAGAGAAGUUGGAUCGCAUCAAGGGUGCAUGUUUUUGGAUGCUGCUUCGGUAGGGAUGAGCAUAAGGAAGGAGAAGAAUACUUGGUGCCCUGCUUAACAACCUACAGUGAAGUACUGAAUGUGGAGGUUGGUGGUCCUGCCUGUGGUGGGGGGUUGGAACUUCAUGAUCCUUGGGGUCCCUUCCAACCCAACCAUUCUGUGGUUCUGUGAUUGUUCCCCUCUGAAUAACCCUUGUAUUUUGUGAGGUCUAUUAGUCUAACUCCCCUGAAGUGAUGCCCAACAAUGCCUUUCUUCUCCAAAUGCAUGAUGAGAAAGCGAAAUGAGCCCAGUGGUUACUGCUUGUGCAUAGUGAAUGUGCCCUGAAAUCCUUUCUUUUCAUGAUAAACUGUCCUCUGGAAUAAUGUCUCAGCACUGUGACAGUCCUGUCUCCAGCAUGCUGUGGAACCCUGCGUCUCUUCAAACCUGAGGUGCCUGUUUCCAUCAGCUUUUCUUUCCUUUCCUCUUCUGAGAGAGCACAGUGAGAUUCCCUGCACUGGGAGAACCAGCCAGGAUGCUGUCAGAAAGCCAAUCAGGCUUUGCGUCGCACAAAGGGACGUGAUGGUGAAGGACUCUUCUUAGCACCAAGGAAAUGAAAGUUUCUUGAGUCCUCUUCCUUAAAGUAUUAUAGAACGAAUUUUGAGUACUGCUUAUGAAAAUGGGCUUGAUAAUUUGAAGUUUAUUAAGACUGUGCUAAAAUCUUCCUCCGAAGCAAUGCUCUUGCUGCAUUGUCUCCCUUCUGUCUGAAGCUGAUGCAAGCAGCCUGCCACUGGAGCGCAGCCUGGCUGAAGGUCUGGGAAACAAGACAGAGGUUGAUAAGGCACCAAAGGAGAGGUACCUAUACUAAACAGGCACCUGGAUUUGAUGCACCGAUUUUCUGUUUCUGCUUUGGAUUUGUUCUUUCCUGUGGCUGUUCUCUUUGCAUGCUGCUGGAGGCCUUAACCCCCAGGACUGACGGCUUCCUUUCCUGUCCUGUUCUGAAAUGUGAACCUGAAGUUGACAUUUACACCUCCUCUGUGAUUUGUCCCAUUCUGCUUGGUAGUUAAGUCCCCAGAUCUCUGAAUGAAGGACUGGGAUUGCACUCAGUGUGAAGCAGAACAGGUAGUAGCUAGGUAUUACACCGGCCUUUCGUGAAAUAAGACUAUUUCCAUACAGCCUUAAAAAUUAACCUUCAAGGGUUAAAAAAAUAAUCAUCACUUAUCCUCUUGCGUGCGUGCUGAAUCGCUCCUGACCACCGCUGUCAGGAAGCUGGCUCUAGGGGGGCAUUCAUUUUCUACUUCUUCCGUGAGCCAUCAUAAGACACAGAUGCUUGGGCAAAAGUAGAAUAAAAGCAUGCCAUGAGCAGAAGUUUGGGAUGCUAAUGCUGAGAUGCAGUCUGAGAAAGUAAUGAAACAGACCAACGUUUUGUACAGUAGCUGUGGGUCUAUGAAGGGGCUCUUGGGGAGGUGGGCUGCAAACUGGCUGAAGGAAAGAAGCCAGAGUUGUGGUCAGUGAGACAGUCUAGUUGGAGGCCUGUAUCUGGUGGAGUCCAUCAAGAGUCAGUACUAAGACCUGCACUAUUCCAUAUAUUCAUCAAUGACUUGGAUGAGGGAAUAAAGUGCAGUGUCAGGAGGUUUGCUGAUGACACAAAGCUGGGAGGAGUGGCUGAAUGCCAGAAGGCUGUGCUGCCAUCCAUAGAGACCUGGACAGGCUGGAGAGCUGGGCAGGGAGAAAUUGAAUGAAAUAGAACAAGGGCAAGUUUAGGGUGUUGCAGCUGGGCAAGAACAACCCCAGGUGCCAGGAUAGGUUGGGGACUGAGCUGUUGGAGAACAGCGUACGGGAAGGGGACCUGGGGGUCCUGGUGGACUGCAGGAGGACCAUGAGCCAGCACUGUGCCCUUGUAGCCAAGAAAGCCAAUAGCAUCCUGGGAUGUAUUGUAGGGGCUGUCGUUAGCAGGGCAAGAGAGGUUCUCCUCCACCUCUACUCUGCCCUGGUGAGACCACAUCUGGAGUACUGUGUCCAGUUCUGGGCCCCUCCAAUCCAAGGGUGGGGAACUGCUUGAGAGAGUCCAGAACAGAGACACAGAGGUGAGGAAGGGAAUGCAGCACCUCCCUUACAAGGAGAGGCUGAGGGAGCUGAGUCUCUUUAGAUUGGAGGAGGCUGAGGGUGACCUCAUUAAUGUUUAUAAAUAUGUAAGGGGUGAGUGUCAGGAGGAUGGAGCCAGGCUCUUCUCAGUGACAUCCAAUGAUAGGACAAGGGGCAAUGGGUGCAAACUGGAACACAGGAGGAUCCACAUAAAUACGAGAAGAAACUUCUUCAUGGUGAGAAACAGAACACUGGAAUGGGCUGCCCAGGAAGGUGGUGGGGUUUCCUUCUGUGGAGACAUUCAGAACAUGUUCCUGGGUGCCCUGAUCCAGGUGUUCCUGCUCCAGCAGGGGGAUUGGACCGGGUGAUCUUCCAAGGUCCCUUCCAAGCCCUGACACUGUGAUUCUGUGAUUCGAGCUGUGUAAGAAGAGAUGGUGUGAUGGAGCUGAGAGCUCCAAUGCUGCGCAGAUUGUGCACUGUAGCCCUUCCGUGUCUCCUUGUUGACACAAGGAAAUAAACACAUGGAGGAAACAGAGGAACUCAUGGUUCUUCAUUUCUGCUGCUGACAAAAGGAAUGCCUUAUUUACUUGUUUUUAAGCACCUGGAAGAGAAGAGGGGAGUGCAAUUGAACAGGGCUUCUCCUGAAGACAUGCACUUCUUUUGAGCUCUCAUGGAUUUAAUCUAUCAGACAAGAAGGGUAUUGUGAAAUCCCCAGGAAGUGGUCUAACAGAACAGGCCAGAGCUUUGUGUUUGAGGAACUCAGACUGCCUGUAAAUGCUGCAGAGGGGAGCUGGGGUGACUUUCUGUUGCAUAACAAGAAUGCGGCUGAUGAGAGGCGGAGUGCAUUGCUGGGACAAUGCAGCUUUCCAUGUUGGAAAAGCAAAGUUUUGGAAAAGUGUUUCCAUGGCAAAAAAGUGCAUCUUCUCAUAGGCAAAUGUCAGUGAACCAAAUGGUGUUAACAUGCUUUUGGAAGGAUUAACCCUUUUGAAAGGAUUAUCCAUCAGACACUCUUAAUGAAAUCACCCUUGAUUUAUUUAUUCUUGUCCUAUUCUUACAUGUGUUUUGCUUCUUUCCAACCCUCUGAAGCAAAGAGCCAUGAGAUAAUGAGCAAGUUGUAAAAGACAGAUGGGGAAGAGGAGCUUCAGAAGGAUGUGGCAGCUGUGCCAUCAGCUGUUGAAGAAGCAGUCAAAGGUAAAACUCCAGAAACUUGAAGGCCUGAAUCCACCCUGGUUUCGGGGUCAGCCCAUCAGCUUGCCAGGAGGUUACUGGAGAAAUCUCAGGGGGUUUUCUUGAAAGUUCGGGAAAAAACUUAUAAAUCAAUGCUUCUAAAUAUCAAAAUGGUGAGGCAUCACAGCAUCACAGAAUGGUUGGGUUGGAAGGGACCCCAAGGAUCACGAAGCUCCAAACCCCCACCACACACAGGGCCACCAACCUCCACACUCAAUACCAGCCCAGGCUGCCCACGGCCCCAUCCAACCUGGCCUUCAACACCUCCACGGAUGGACGGGGCAUCCACAGCCUCUCUGGGCAGCUGUUCCAGCACCUCACCACUCUCUCUGUCAAGAACUUCCCCCUCACAUCCAACCUCAACCUGCCCUCCUUCAGCUUCAAACCAUUGCCCCCUGUCCUGCUCUUAUCUCCCCUCUCAAAGAGUUGCCUCCCCUCCUGUUUGGAGGCUCCCUUUAGGUCCUGGAAGGCUGCAAUGAGCUCACCCCGCAGCCUUCUCUUCUCCAGGCUCAGCAAGCCCAGCUCCCUCAGCCUGUCUUUGUAGGGGAGGUGCUGCAGCCCUCUGAGCAUCUUUGUGGCCUCCUCUGGACCCUCUCCAACAGCUCCCUGUCUUUCUUGCGUUGGGGUCCCCAGGCAUGGACGCAGUACUGCAGAUGGGGCCUCACGAGGGCAGAGCAGAGGGGGACAAUCACCUCCCUGUCCCUGCUGGCCACCCCUCUGCUGCUGGAGCCCAGGAUCCCGUUUGCUUUCCGUGCUGUAAGAGCACACUGCUGGCUCAUGGUCAGCUUCACACUGCUGCCAUCAGCUGCCCCUGCUCCCCUCUCUAAUGUUUCCACACUGGCUUCUGGUACAGCAUUGCCAUCAGCAGUUCUUUCCUCUCAUUCCCUCCUGUUUGCUCAGGUAUUUCUCUAGUUGCACAGUGACACUUUUUUUUUUUUUCAUUAGCCACCGCAACCACCACCAACCAAAACAAAACCAAAAAACCUCUGUUCACAAUUACUGCCAAACAUACAAUGGCCACUGCACAGAAAUGAGAGAUCAUGGAUCCUAGGAUGGCCUGGGUUGAAAAGGACCACAAUGCUCAUCCCGUUCCAACCCCCUGCUGUGUGCAGGGUCGCCAACCAGCAGACCAGGCUGCCCAGAGCCACAUUUAGCCUGGCCUUGGAUGCCUGCAGGGAUGGGGCAUCCACAACCUCCUUGGGCAAUCUGUUCAGUGCGUCACCACCCUCUGGGGGAAAAACUUCCUCCUAAUGGAGGAAGAUGAUGGCUUGAGAUGAUUGCUCAGCCUCCGACUGCUCUCAGAAUUCCCAUUGAGAACAUCUGCUGGCUGAGUGUAAGAGCAGAGUCUGCAUGCUAAAGCAGCUCAAUGCCCCCAGCUAACCAUGGAAGUUUGUCCCUCAAGCUGCUCCCACUCAUCAUCAGCUGCCAUUCUGAACCCCACUGUGCAAAACAGCAAAACCUCUACUGCGAAUGGCUGCAGUCACCAGAGCUCAGCCUGCUGUCCAGGUAUUAGCCUUCUCCCUCCUGUUAUCCAUCUUAGCCCGUAUUUCCCCUCCCAGAAAUAUAACACCACUUUGACAGUCAAAACACAAACUAGUGCUUCACUUCUCACUGCUCCUUCCUGCAGCCCCAAAUGAAUCCUGACGUCCCCUGCAGCACUGCACCCACUCAGAAGUAGCAUGCAAAAUACAUUCUUCCAUUUUUCAUGACAGAGGGCUGCAGAAACUCCCUUCUGCAUUGCAGGAAGGACGGUCCGUCCCCAGCACGCCCCUCUGUGCGCUGCAAGGAUCUCUGGCAGCCUGCUGGCUGCUGCUCCCAAACACAGAACCACACCUCCCUGCUGCUAAAGAGAGAAGGGAAGAAAUGUUGAUUGGAAUGGGCAGCCAAGGUUUGCAGAAAGGUUCCAGAUUGUGCCAGAGAUGGGAUAUCAGUGCUGAGAUGCUAUUUAUCACUAAGGGAAACAUUUGGCAGCAGGUCCACAAUGCCUGCAUAAGUUGUAAUACCUGGGCACAGGUAGCUUUCCUGUGGCUCAGCUGGAGGAGAGGCAGGUGCUUCAGACAUCAGCUCAGGGGCUCAGCUGAGACUCCUGCACAGUGUUGGGAUUAUCCCAAGGGAAACAAUGUCUUUGGAUACCCUGUUAAACCCAUCUGAAAUUAUCCUGCAGAGCCUUAGCUCCUGACCACCACUUCUUCCCCACCCUUCACCGCUCCAAGCAGAUAUGGCAAACUUCUCAGAAGAAAUGCCGGGCAGCAGAGACCUGGCAGACCAUAACCAAGCACAGCUUGGCGUGCUUCUCCCCCUGUACUCAGCACUGGUGAGGCCGCACCUCGAGUACUGUGCCCAGUUUUGGGCCCCCCACUGUAAGAAAGACAUCGAGGCCCUGGAGCGUGUCCAGAGGAGGGCAACAAAGCUGGUGAGGGCUCUGGAGCACAGGCCUGAUGAGGAGCGGCUGAAGGAGCUGGGAUUGUUCAGUCUGGAGAAGAGGAGGCUCAGGGGAGACCUUACUGCUCUCUAUAACUACCUGAAGGGAGGUUGCAGUGAGCUGGGGGCCAGCCUCUUCUCUCGUGUGACAGUGAUAGGACUAGAGGGAAUGGCUUCAAGCUGCGCCAGGGAAGAUUCAGGCUGGACAUUAGGAAAUACUACUUGUCUGAAAGGGUGGUCAGGCACUGGAAUGGGCUGCCCAGGGAGGUGGUGGAGUCAUCGACCCUGGUGGUGUUCAAAGAGCAUUUGGAUGUUGUGUUGAGGGACAUGGUUUAGCGGGAACCAUUGGUGAAGGGCGAAUGGUUGGACUGGAUGAUCAUGUGGGUCUCUUCCAACCUUAGCAAUUCUAUGAUUCUAUGAUUUUAUGAGCUGGCAGGAGGGCAGUGCCCGCUCUUUGCUACCACCCUGCUCCAGCAGGUUAAGUAGUCUGAGCCACGCUGUCCUUUUGCAGCUGAGGAGAAAAGACUUUUGGCACCUAAUGCCAACAUUUCUCACUAAGAUACACCCAAGGCAUUGAAUCCUCUUCCCCCUACCUUCUUCCAGUCCUUCCCUAGGAAUAGAAACCAUUAAGAUUUUACAGCAAACACAUCUACACUGCAAGAACACACUGAACCACCUACAGCAGUGAAACAUGGUUUUGUAGACUGGGUUUGAAAACACACCUUUAGACAGCUGUCUGCCUGUAGCCAAAAGGAAACUGAGCAGGAAAAUGAGUCCAGCCUGAAACGUGCCCAUGUUAUCAGCCCAGGUUCGCAGUGGGCGCAGAACCCAUCCAGUGAUUGAGGUAACGAAUGACCAGCGGGUCUCCCCCUGUUUCACCCUUAAAAAUGAGAAAAAGGAAGAAAAAACGAGCAAAAGAAGCCCAGCCAUACCUUUCCACACAGGGCAGAAAUGGGAGCAGCGGUCGUCUCCCUGCUGAGACACGAUGGGAACAUCUCAGAGGAAGCCCAGGCUCUUUGGUUCUCUCCACAGGGAUUUCCUACGCUCCUGGCAAGAGCUGCCUUCACUCCUUCUCCAACGGCCUCGAUCCCCGAAAUCUCCUUUUGGAAAGGAGCCCUACAGAAAGAAUCAGCACAUGAAAAAUAAUGAGGAAUAAGCAUUUUGCCAGCUUUCUUCUGAUACACACUUUAGACUCUUGAGUGGGGCAAGGUCUCAACAUCAGCUGGUUACAAGAACUGUCCCAAAAUACAUCCAGCUUCUGUACAGCUGCCAUUAUUUCUGACAGCAAGUGUUAUCACAGAGUCACAGAAUGGUUGGGUUGGAAGGGACCCCAAGGAUCACGAAGCUCCAACCCCUCACCACACACAGGGCCACCAACCUUCACACUCAAUACCAGCCCAGGCUGCCCACGGCCCCAUCCAACCUGGCCUUCAACACCUCCACGGAUGGACGGGGCAUCCACAGCCUCUCUGGGCAGCUGUUCCAGCACCUCACCACUCUCUCUGUCAAGAACUUCCCCCUCACAUCCAACCUCAACCUGCCCUCCUUCAGCUUCAAACCAUUGCCCCCUGUCCUGCUCUUAUCUCCCCUCUCAAAGAGUUGCCUCCCCUCCUGUUUGGAGGCUCCCUUUAGGUCCUGGAAGGCUGCAAUGAGCUCACCCCGCAGCCUUCUCUUCUCCAGGCUCAACAAGCCCAGCUCCCUCAGCCUGUCUUUGUAGGGGAGGUGCUGCAGCCCUCUGAGCAUCUUUGUGGCCUCCUCUGGACCCUCUCCAACAGCUCCCUGUCUUUCUUGCGUUGGGGUCCCCAGGCCUGGACGCAGUACUGCAGAUGGGGCCUCACGAGGGCAGAGCAGAGAGGGACAAUCACCUCCCUGUCCCUGCUGGCCACCCCUCUGCUGCUGGAGCCCAGGAUCCCAUUUGCUUUCCUUGCUGUAAGAGCACACUUCUGGCUCAUGGUCAGCUUUUCACCCACCAGGACCCCCAGGUCCUUCUCUGCAGGGCUGCUCUCAAGGACUGCUCCUUCUAGUCUGUAUAAAUGCCUGGGAUUCCUCCGGCCCAAGUGCCAACCCUUGCACUUUGCUGUGUUGAGACUCAUUAGGUUCACCUGGGCCCAUCUUUCAAGCCUGUUGAGGUCCCUCUGAAUGGCAUCCCUUCCUUCCACUGUGUCAGCUGCACCACUCAGCUGGGUGUCAGUGGCAAACUGCUGAGGGUGCACUCAAUUUUGUCAUCGAUGUCAUUGAUAAAGAUGUUAAAAAGCACCUGUCCCAGGACAGACCCCUGGGGGACACCGUUUGUUACUGGCCUCCAUCUGGACAUAGCACUGUUAAUCACCACCCUCUGUCUGUGGCUUUUCAACCAAUUCGUUAUCCACCAGGUGGUCCACCCAUCAAAUCCACAUCUCUCCAACUUGAAGAUAAGGAUGUGGUGGAGGGCCACGUAAAAGGCCAUUGCACAAGUCCAGGUAAAUGACAUCGGUUGCCUUCCUUUUGCCCACAAAUGCUGUCACUCCAUCAUAGAAGGCCACCAGAUUGGUUGGGCAUGGUAAAGCCAUGCUGGUUGUCUUGGAUCACAUGCUCCUUCCUCAUGUGAUCUAGCAUGUCUCCGAGGUGGAUCUGUUCUUCACCAUCUUCUUCAUAGUUACACAAUUGAAUCAAAUAACUGGUGUUGCUGUCAUGAAUAAAACCUCUUUGUUUUCUACUCCUGCUGCAGCUGCAGCAGCUGCACCAGCAUGACUCACAUGUUUGACAAACCUCCAGCUCUGGCUUAGCCAGGCACAGCAGCAGUCCAUCUCCCUCCCAGCUCACUCACCAGCAUGCUGCUGUGCCACAGAGUCAGCAUGCCAGCGAGAGCAUGCAGCACCCAUCAGCCUCCUCCCACUCUCACUGCCAGCUGGGAUGAGGGCUGAUGCAGCGUGCCCACCCCAGCCCAGCUCUUCUGCUGAGACCCCUCCCAGUGACCACCCAGCACCAAACCCAGCUCUCCUGUUCGUCCUGAUCAGCCCAAGCUGUGCCCAGCUCAUGCACACGCCUCAGUGGUGCUUCUGAUGGGCUCUCACGGGGUGACCUGUUCCAAGGAGGCCCAGAUCUCAGUCUCCCUGUGCAGCACGCUCACCAGAGCACCAGCUCUGCUCACCAGCUGUGGGACAAAUGAUCCCACCCCAGCAAUGAUUACAACCUUGAUGAGUGCCCGCAGCACUACUGUGCUUUCAUUGUAAGCAAAGGGAGGGGUCACCUCCUAGAUCCAAAUUUUAAGAAACCAACAGAAGGGUCACCCAAUGAGGUUAUCUGAAGUAAAAUAACAGAGUAAGGUCACUCUUCUGCAUCCAGCUCAGACCACCUUCUCACUCAGGCAUCACACAAUCAGACCAAGGAGAUGUUGCCUCUGGCUGCCUCCAGCUUGGAAGUCAGAAGGGUUUGGGCUUCCAAACACUCAGAAAGCAUUUGGAUGAGCCAGCUUCCUGCUGGGGAGCCCUCCGGCAUCACUGCUGCCUCCUCCAGUACUGUACCCACAGAUGCUUCGGAACUCAUUAGCAUGGACUUCCUUCCUCCCAUCAGCAGCUACUCCUGCACUGACCUUCAUUCAUGCUGGGAUACCAUCCACUUCCAGCACGAGCUGACCUGUAAGGUGGAGAAAGGAAAUGUAGGAUUAAUGCAAAUGCAGAAGACCAAGACUGUGUCUCCACCACGUACUGCAGCCUUGGGAAGUCAGCUGCAACUACAACCUUUGUCAGAAUUUAAACAGGCACCGUACAUUAAGUGUGACCUCUGAAAUUACUGCCAUGAUCAGAAAUAGACGUUGAAAUUGCACACUUAACUGUAGGUGGUUACCUCCAAAUGCUUUUGCUUUGGGGAAAAUAUGGACUCGGAAUUGAAGGACACGAAAAAAAAUGACAUCUACUUCACUGUAGGUGGUUAAGCUUGGGAAGAGGACUUUAAAAAGAAAAGGUUUUAAACUCCUUGUAAGGCACAGAGCGAUGGGAUGAUUGCCCAUGCCUGCAGAAAGCCUGAUCUGCUCUGCCACAGCUGGCUGAGUGACACAAAAGCUGAGCUGCCCAUUCAGAAGCGCGUGGGGCACGGAGCGGUUACACACCAACAUGCAGGAUGCAAACAUUACUGGGCACUUCCCCAUCGAAGGGAAAUUCCUUCUCCCUGCCACGCCAUGUCCACACCGCUCCUCAGGGCUGCGCUCACACAGCACAGAAUGCAGACACUCUUUUGUCAUCAUGGUGGUUUUUGAUAGACCCAAACAAGGAGACCUCAGGUUGCCGUGUGGGCUCCUAGGUGACACUGCCAUUUCCAAGCCAUUGCAGCCCAGGGGCAAAGAAAGUAAAAUGCCUGAACAAAACAUUCCACAAACACUCCUUAACUGCACAGAUCCAACUGCAGGCACUCAUCCAACCUGAGCCAUCAGUCAUUCCUAGCCACGUGCUCUUCCUCCCAUCACGCUCAGUAUCACGCGCCCAUCACACAGCUUACAUGACUUAGUUUUUCUCUUCUUUCUGGAGGUGCCCUUGGUUCUCAGCCUUAUCUUCUUACGCUGUUUAUCUCACUCUGCAGCUCCUGCUCUGAGUAGCCUUUUUUGUAUUCCCACAUGACAGGUAUAAAACGAAGCUGCAGCCCCUGCCACCAAGGUCAGCUCUUCAGCACUCAUUACCCGAGGAGCACUUGGCAACUCAUGCAAACUGAGCACUGCAAGGAAGAUUGUUGCACUUCUUUUCCUGGAUCAGAAAUUAAUUUUCCUACCUAGAAAUUGGGAAAAAAAAAAAAAAAAAAGCC